UACGUAGGGCGCAAGCGUUGUCCGGCAUUAUUGGGCGUAAAGAGCUCGUAGGCGGCCAGUUGCGUCCGCUGUGAAAUCCCGGGGCUUAACCCCGGGCGUGCAGUGAUACGGGCUGGCUAGAGGCAGGCAGGGGAGAACGGAAUUCCCGGUGUAGCGGUGAAAUGCGCAGAUAUCAGGAGGAACACCGAUGGCGAAGGCAGGUCUCUGGGCCGCUACUGACGCUGAGAAGCGAAAGCAUGGGGAGCGAACAGG
rnacentral:rRNA from 1 species